rnacentral:rRNA from 1 species
UACGGAGGGGGCAAGCGUUGUUCGGAGUUACUGGGCGUAAAGCGUGCGCAGGCGGCCCGUUAAGACAGGUGUGAAAUCCCUGGGCUCAACCUAGGAAUUGCGCUUGUGACUAGCGGGCUCGAGUACGGUAGAGGGGGGUGGAAUUCCUGGUGUAGCAGUGAAAUGCGUAGAGAUCAGGAGGAACACCGAUGGCGAAGGCAGCCCCCUGGGCCUGUACUGACGCUCAUGCACGAAAGCGUGGGGAGCAAACAGG